rnacentral:lncRNA from 1 species
AUGCUGUCUCUUCUCUCAUCUGGCCGUAAACUGCUGCUGACUUGGGCUGGGCGGCUUGUGCUGUCAGCCUGUCGGCGAGUUCUGGAGGUUAGUCUCGGCGAGUUCUGGAGGUUAGUCUCACCACCGAUCGAUGAUUCAGGUCACCUACACGCCCCUCUGGAAACGGCUCUGUUCUCGUGGUUGGAGAGCUCUUCUGUUAGCAUCUCCAGCAGUGCUAAGCAUUGUCUAUGGCGGGACGGCCCCUGUCCCAGUGGAUGGCUUGCCUUGUCUAGGCCACCGAGGCCCUUGCCCCUGAGCUUCCUGCAAGCUCGGAGCCUGGAGGAGGGGCGCAUCCCAGGAAAGGCACCUGUGCGGAAGCAAGCUCAAACCGUGAGGUGUCUUCAUUCUCGGAUUCUGAGAGCCUAGUGUGUGUCAAACGUGGCCCCACUCACAGAUCCGUGCGAAGAACAGGCUAGGACCCCUGCCUCCGAGCACCUCCAGUGUGAAGAGGGAGGUGUCAACACUGGGGUCUCGGCCCAGCCCUCCCGUGUCUGUACCAAUCCGCCAGGCGGCUGGGGCACAGGAGUGUGUUCCCGUGCCAGGCCCUUGCCCAGGGUGGCCCUGCAGAAGGACAGAGUGUCCAUGGCCUGCACACCGAGCCCUGAUUCUGGGAGGAGCCAUCCACAGGAAACAGCAGACGCUUUUGCACCAGGGUCCCCGUUAAAGAGGACGAGAUGCUCACACUUCCUUCAUGGAACCCCCUGUAAGAUGACAGGUACACGAAAGGGGGAAAAUGGCCUCCUGCUUGGAGUGCAAACUCAGCAAGACAGGUCUGGAAGGAUGGGAGCGGGUGGACGGAGCUGACAAGGAGAGCUGAGCCCCAAGGAGCAGUGUGCGGGCUCUGCCUCCACUCUGACGCAGGGCAGUGCUGGCGGCCUCCUCCCAGCGCUGUGGAGAUGGGCCCAGUUGAAAGGCUGCGUAAGAGACUCCUGGUCCUCCCCACCCACACACCUGGGCCUCAGCUGCCUGUGGAACCCAGAGAAGACUAGACUCACAGAGGCUCAUGCUGGAGAGGGAGAGACCUGAGCGGCUCUGGACCCUACAGUGGAAACACAGCCAAACGGGACAGGAACUUCUGGAAACCAGGAGAUUAGGUGAAAAUAGACGUUCUGAGAUGAGAUCCCCACUCAGCUCCCUGAGGGCUCAGUCAAGAAACGGGAGGCUUCUUUCUGGAUACACUUCCUGCGUGUGCCUGAGGCCGCCAUAACCAGUGACCACGUUCUGAGUGGCUGGAAAUGGCAGAAACAUAUUAUCUCAUGGUCCUGAAGGCCAGAAGGUCCAAGAUUGAGUGGUCAGGGCCCUGCUAUCUUGGGAGGCUCUCGGGGAGGCGCCUCCCUUGCCUCUCACAGCCUCUGGUGACCCCAGGUGUUCCUUGGCUCAUGGCCACAGCACUCCAUUCUCUGUGUCCGUCUUCAUGGGGCCUGCUCCGUUUGCCAAAUUUCCUUCUCCCUUCUCUUAUAAACACUCCACCAUUGGCUUUAGAGUCCAUUCUAAAUCUAGGAUGAUUUCAUCUAAAGAUCUUUCGCUAAUAUCUGGAAAGAACCUAUUUCCAAAUCAAGUCAGAUCCUGAGGUUCCCCAGCAGACAUGAACUUCGGGGGCCCCCCAUUCCAUCCACUGAACUCACCAAGCCCAGAUCAGAACCCAUGGGUGCCAUGAGUCGGGGGCCAGAGGGCGCCCCUGUGAAGCCCACCUCCCACCAGCCGGCUGUUUAUCGCUGUGCUCCUAAACAUGGUGGAAAGCAAAGGUCACUCUUUGGGAGAGAAACAAAACCAGAAGAAGCCAAAGGAAGAGGAGCGAG